CAGGCACUGAGGAAUAAAAGGUUUCCAGUAAUGUGGUAAUGGAGCCACAAUUUAUUAUUACAAUUAAUUUUGUGGACAACUGAGCAAGAAGAACCCCAAGCAUAAUUUGACAGAUAAUCAGGGACAAUGUCAACUGUGUAAAUGCUACUGAGGCACAGGAGUGGCCAGUAUUGGUCAACAGCAGAUGUGCAAGAAGUGCAGACUGCAGUGCUUUGACGGAGUGGUGUCGCAAUGCCUUUAAAAUGCUUAACGACAUGGAAACCAAGCUCAAAACCACCACUUUUUCUGUGAUCUUAGUAUGCGCUGUAUGACUGGCUAGCAACCAACUUCAGGUGUACGCCACCAUUUGCCCAAAGUGACCUGAGGUUGACGCCAGCAUACCCGUGACUAUAGUGAGGGUAAGCGGUUCAGAAGAUGAAUGAAAGUUCUAGUAGCUAUUUCCUGACAUUUAAAUCAUGAU